GACGAACGCUGGCGGCGUGCUUAACACAUGCAAGUCGAACGGAAAGGCCCUGCUUUUGUGGGGUGCUCGAGUGGCGAACGGGUGAGUAACACGUGAGUAACCUGCCCUUGACUUUGGGAUAACUUCAGGAAACUGGGGCUAAUACCGGCUAGGAGCUCCUGCUGCUUGGUGGGGGUUGGAAAGUUUCGGCUGUUGGGGAUGGACUCGCGGCUCAUCAGCUUGUUGGUGGGGUAGUGGCUUACCAAGGCUUUGACGGGUAGCCGGCCUGAGAGGGUGACCGGCCACAUUGGGACUGAGAUACGGCCCAGACUACUACGGGAGGCAGCAGUGGAGAAUAUUGCACAAUGGGCGGGAGGCAGAUGCAGCAAAGCCGCGUGGGGGAUGACGGCCAUCGGGUUGUAAACCGCUUUCGUCUGUGACGAAGCGUGAGUGACGGUAAUGGGUAAAGAAGCACCGGCUAACUACGUG
rnacentral:rRNA from 1 species